GAUGAACGCUAGCUGCAGGCUUAACACAUGCAAGUCGAGGGACCGGCGCGCGGGUGAGUAACACGUAUCCAACCUGCCCUUUACUCGGGAAUAGCCUUUAGAAAGAAAGAUUAAUACCCGAUGUAAAGGAUGGGGAUGCGUUCCGUUAGGUUGUUGGGGAGGUAACGGUAAACCAAGCCUUCGAUGGAUAGGGGUUCUGAGAGGAAGGUCCCCCACAUUGGAACUGAGACCAGACCCCAACGCGUACGGGAGGCAGCAGUGAGGAAUAUUGGGCAAUGGGCGUUAGCCUGAACCAGCCAAGUAGCGUGAAGGAUGAAGGCUUAUGGGUCGUAAACUUCUUUUAUAUAAGAAUAUGUAUUAUAUGAAUAAGGAUCGGCUAACUCCGUGCCAGCCGCCGCGGUAAUAC
rnacentral:rRNA from 1 species